AGUGAACGCUGGCGGUAGGCCUAACACAUGCAAGUCGAACGGCAGCACAGUAAGAGCUUGCUCUUACGGGUGGCGAGUGGCGGACGGGUGAGGAAUACAUCGGAAUCUACUUUUUCGUGGGGGAUAACGUAGGGAAACUUACGCUAAUACCGCAUACGACCUACGGGUGAAAGCAGAGGAUCUUCGGACCUUGCGCGAUUGAUUGAGCCGAUGUCGGAUUAGCUAGUUGGCGGGGUAAAGGCCCACCAAGGCGACGAUCCGUAGCUGGUCUGAGAGGAUGAUCAGCCACACUGGAACUGAGACACGGUCCAGACUCCUACGGGAGGCAGCAGUGGGGAAUAUUGGGCAAUGGGCGCAAGCCUGAUCCAGCCAUACCGCGUGGGUGAAGAAGGCCUUCGGGUUGUAAAGCCCUUUUGUUGGGAAAGAAAAGCAGCAUGUUAAUACCCCGCUGUUCUGACGGUACCCAAAGAAUAAGCACCGGCUAACUUCGUG
rnacentral:rRNA from 1 species